rnacentral:rRNA from 1 species
UAGGGAAUCUUGCGCAAUGGGCGAAAGCCUGACGCAGCCAUGCCGCGUGAAUGAUGAAGGUCUUAGGAUUGUAAAAUUCUUUCACCGGGGAAGAUAAUGACGGUACCCGGAGAAGAAGCCCCGGCUAACUUCGUGCCAGCAGCUGCGGUAAUACGAAGGGGGCUAGCGUUGCUCGGAAUUACUGGGCGUAAAGGGCGCGUAGGCGGAUGUUUAAGUCGGGGGUGAAAGCCCGGGGCUCAACCUCGGAAUUGCCUUCGAUACUGGACAUCUUGAGUACGGGAGAGGUGAGUGGAACUCCGAGUGUAGAGGUGAAAUUCGUAGAUAUUCGGAAGAACACCAGUGGCGAAGGCGACUCACUGGCCCGUUACUGACGCUGAGGCGCGAAAGCGUGGGGAGCAAACAGGAUUAGAUACCCUGGUAGUCCACGCCGUAAACGAUGAGUGCUAGUUGUCGGCAUGCAUGCAUGUCGGUGACGCAGCUAACGCAUUAAGCACUCCGCCUGGGGAGUACGGUCGCAAGAUUAAAACUUAAAGGAAUUGACGGGGGUCAUAGCUG